rnacentral:rRNA from 1 species
UACGUAGGGACCGAGCGUUGUCCGGAUUCAUUGGGCGUAAAGGGCUCGUAGGCGGCUGCUCAAGUCGAAUGUGAAAACUCGAGGCUCAACCUCGAGCCUGCAUUCGAUACUGGGCGGCUAGAGUCUGGUAGGGGGAUCUGGAAUUCCUGGUGUAGCGGUGGAAUGCGCAGAUAUCUGGAGGAAUACCGGUGGCGAAGGCGGCAUCCUGGACCGACAUUGACGCUGAGGAGCGAAAGCCAGGGGAGCAAACGGG